AGUGAACGCUGGCGGUAGGCCUAACACAUGCAAGUCGAACGGCAGCACAGUAAGAGCUUGCUCUUACGAGUGGCGAGUGGCGGACGGGUGAGGAAUACAUCGGCAUCUACUUUUUCGUGGGGGAUAACGUAGGGAAACUUACGCUAAUACCGCAUACGACCUACGGGUGAAAGCAGGGGAUCUUCGGACCUUGCGCGAUUGAAUGAGCCGAUGUCGGAUUAGCUAGUUGGCGGGGUAACGGCCCACCAAGGCGACGCUCCGUAGCUGGUCUGAGAGGAUGAUCAGCCACACUGGAACUGGGACGCGGUCCAGACUCCUACGGGAGGCAGCGGUGGGGAAUAUUGGACAAUGGGCGCAAGCCUGAUCCAGCCAUACCGCGUGGGUGAAGAAGGCCUUCGGGUUGUAAAGCCCUUUUGGUGGGAAAAAAAAGCAGCAGGUUAAUACCCCGCUGUUCUGACGGUACCCAAAGAAUAAGCACCGGCUAACUUCGUG
rnacentral:rRNA from 1 species